rnacentral:rRNA from 1 species
UACGGGGGGGGCAAGCGUUGUUCGGAAUUACUGGGCGUAAAGGGCUCGUAGGCGGCCAACUAAGUCAUACGUGAAAUCCCUCGGCUUAACCGGGGAACUGCGUCUGAUACUGGAUGGCUUGAGUUCGGGAGAGGGAUGCGGAAUUCCAGGUGUAGCGGUGAAAUGCGUAGAUAUCAGGAGGAACACCGGUGGCGAAGGCGGCUUUCUGGACAGUAACUGACGCUGAGGCGCGAAAGCCGGGGGAGCAAACAGG